rnacentral:rRNA from 1 species
AUGGAAAGGUUUCUAAAAAAGAGGAGAACCUCAGUGCAAGAUGAAAAUGUUGGUCCGUCACACGAACAUAAUCAGAACGAUGGCUCAGUUCCGCCACCAUCGGAUGGACAAAUUGAUGCAUCACCACAUGAACAGACUGAUGUUCCAGCCCCGCCAUCACCACAUGGACAAAAUGAUGCCUCCACACAUGAACCUAGUUCUGCCAAUACUACAAGGAAUUCAUCUCAAGUUGAAGAGAUCAAUUGGGAAGAAGAAAUUCAGUUUGAUCCAGGUAAAAGGAGAAGCAUAGAUGAGUACCAUCCCAAUCAGAGAGAUAUGGUAAGAAGGAAGUAUUUGGCCAAUGGCCCUUGUCAACCUCGUACUGCUGAUUUUGAAGUGACAGAAAUAUGUGGUAAAGAUAGAAGGUUCGUUCGGGAAUGGUUUGAUGAGUUUGGGAGCUGGACCGCGCAAGAAGAAAGAAGCCGGAUAUGAUGCAUUUGUUGCAAAUGGUUGGUCAAGUUGUAAUAAAAAAUAUAGAUUAAAGGAGCAUGUAGGAGACAUCAAUAGUGCUCACAACCAAGCAAAAAGAGAUUGUGAUGCUUUGCUGAAACAAAAG